rnacentral:rRNA from 1 species
AAUGGAGGCAACUCUGAUCCAGCCAUGCCGCGUGCAGGAAGACUGCCUAUGGGUUGUAAACUGCUUUUAUACAGGAAGAAAGUAUCUACGUGUAGGUAUUUGACGGUACUGUACGAAUAAGGAUCGGCUAACUCCGUGCCAGCAGCCGCGGUAAUACGGAGGAUCCAAGCGUUAUCCGGAAUCAUUGGGUUUAAAGGGUCCGUAGGCGGUCUGAUAAGUCAGAGGUGAAAUCCUGCAGCUCAACUGUAGCAUUGCCUUUGAUACUGGUAGACUUGAGUUAUUGUGAAGUAGUUAGAAUGUGUGGUGUAGCGGUGAAAUGCAUAGAUAUCACACAGAAUACCGAUUGCGAAGGCAGAUUACUAACAAUAUACUGACGCUGAGGGACGAAAGCGUGGGUAGCGAACAGGAUU